rnacentral:rRNA from 1 species
GUAGGGAAUCUUCGGCAAUGGACGAAAGUCUUACCGAGCAACGCCGCGUGAGUGAUGAAGGUCUUCGGAUUGUAAAGCUCUGUUAAUCGGGACGAAAGAGCCUAGUGUGAAUAAUGCUAGGAAGUGACGGUACCGGAAUAGAAAGCCACGGCUAACUACGUGCCAGCAGCCGCGGUAAUACGUAGGUGGCAAGCGUUGUCCGGAAUUAUUGGGCGUAAAGCGCGCGCAGGCGGAUCUGCCAGUCUGUCUUAAAAGUUCGGGGCUUAACCCCGUGAUGGGAUGGAAACUACAGAUCUAGAGUAUCGGAGAGGAAAGUGGAAUUCCUAGUGUAGCGGUGAAAUGCGUAGAUAUUAGGAAGAACACCAGUGGCGAAGGCGACUUUCUGGACGAAAACUGACGCUGAGGCGCGAAAGCCAGGGGAGCGAACGGGAUUAGAUACCCCUGUAGUCC